rnacentral:rRNA from 1 species
GGAAUUGACGGGGACCCGCACAAGCAGCGGAGUCGUGUGGUUUAAUUCGUUGCUACACGAAGAACUUACCUGGGUUUGACAUAUAGGUUGUAGGGAACUGAAAGGGACCGACCCUUCGGGGAGCCUAUACAGGUGUUGCAUGGCUGUCGUCAGCUCGUGUCGUGAGAUGUUCGGUUAAGUCCGCUAACGAGCGCAACCCUCGUCGUAUGUUAUAUGUGUCAUACGAGACUGCCGGUAAAAAGCCGGAGGAAGGUGAGGAUGAUGUCAAGUCAGCAUGACCUUUAUAUCCAGGGCUACACACACGCUACAAUGGUCUGUACAAUGGGUAGCCAAGCCGCGAGGCGGAGCCAAUCCUGAAAGCAGGCCUCAGUUCAGAUUGCAGUCUGCAACUCGACUGCAUGAAGCCGGAGUUGCUAGUAACCGCAGGUCAGCAAUACUGCGGUGAAUACGUUCCCGGGUCUU